rnacentral:lncRNA from 1 species
GGUGUGUUGCCAGCAGCAGGAGCAGCACAAGAAGACGACGAUGAGUCCCUUUCUGAUUCUGAGACGGAUUCUGAAGGUCUAACAGAACUUCUGGAUGCCGUGCUGCUUCCAGGUGCAAAACAACAAGGAGUGUGUGCGCAUGCUGUUGCAGAGGAGCGCCACAAUGGUGUGUUGCCAGCAGCAGGAGCAGCACAAGAAGAAGAUGAUUUUGACUUCUCUUCUUUGGAUGAGGUACUUUGUCUU